CCAGCGGGCAGCGGGGUGGGGAUGGCGGGCACUCACAUGGCCACUUGCAGAAUUGGGGGCGUGAGGAGGUGUCCUCCAGUGGAGCUGGGAGACCUGGGCCUGCAAGAGGAAGAGAAUCGCCUGAGGACACAGGAGCGGGGACGGGAGCCAGGCUUUGAGUCAGUCCUCCCUCUCCUGGGCAAGCCAUGGAUCAUCCUGCCCAGCACUUCUCGUCCUUGACGGCUGAGUUCUGAAGGGAGGAAGGCAAGACCCGAAGAGACAGAUGGACACUCCCAGGAUGACACAGUUCACAGCAAGGCCAAGAUGCAAAUUAAUCUCCUAACUCUCAUUACAACAGCUUCUACUUUUGCCUCUUCUGGGUUCUUUCAUUCACUCAACAGACAUUUGCAGAGUUAGCUCAUAGUCUCUCUUAAGUUUUAGAUAUUUGAAGAUAAGCGUUAAAAGUCCCUAUGAUUGGGGAACCCACAGCUUAUGGGAGAGGCAAGUAUUAGAGGUGAUUUACUACAACUCGAGGGAUUUACUGCAACUCGAGGGAUUUACUACGCAAAGUGCUGGGCAUUCCAAGGAGGCAUGGAAGCUCUCUGAACACCAGGGCAGUAACUGCUCUGCCCAGGAGAGUGGGGUCCACUCUUGCACCUUGAAGGACCAGGGAUGAGGAAAGUGGUUCAGAUGAAUUUCUGAAUUAGUCUGACUAGGCUCUGAACCUGGCGCACAAUAAAUGUAGUAAAUAUUGAUGCAAUAAAUAAAGCCCUUGCAAGUCAACAGACAAAA